rnacentral:lncRNA from 1 species
UUUUAGAAAUCAAUGAUUAUGACAUGAGAUAAUAACUGAACACAGGUCAAAAUGUAUGUUUUUGACCACCAACUGAAAGUUGCAAUAAUGAACUAUGACCUCAAGCUGCUCUCUCACUCUGAUGUGUGAGGGUGAUCACUAUAAUAAUAGGAAGUACAUCCACAGCCUAAUAUUACAUGUUCCUGUGUGUAUGCCCUAGCAUGGAAAUAUGGUCAGAGAGAGGGUGACGGACAAAGAUUUGGCGUUAGAGCAAAAAAGAUGAUACUAGAGCUCUCCAAAACCGGAGUAGAGUGUAGGGCAGGGCUAGGCAACGCUUGAAGGAUGUGGGAGGAGAUUAAGGUUGAUUGGCGUGAGCUGGACCUUGAUGAGGGGACGGCUGUUAACCUAAUCACUCUAUUUAACUCGGCUUAGCGCCUGUCGAUUCUAGCCUGUAAUUGAUUUAAUUCACAGUGGAAACCGUUCCUAACACAAUUUUAAUUCCUCUUGUUCUACAACUUUGCAAUUACCUGGUUUGCCAUCGCACAGUAACAUGUCUUAAGGUGUGUGUUAUAGUCACUGUCAGUUGACAUUUUAUUUUAGGGACAGACAAUGUUUUUUAUUUUCUCCUCUCUCCCUGCAGGAUUGAUCUACCUCCGACACACAAGCCUCCUCCUCCCUACACAGAGAGACCGUCAGUCAUCCCUCUGGUUGUCCACACACCACAGGUGGCCUCCCUUUCACAGGCUCACAGGGCUGUGCGGCAGUUUGAGAUGGCAGAGAGAACACCUGCCAGGCUCACACCCCGGGAACCCCGAAGCCCCUCCCACCAGCCUCUGUCCUAUCAGGAGUGGGUGUGUCACCAGAACGGGGCGGAUCGUAUCUACAUCAACCACCGGGAACACUAUGUGUGACGGACACGUCCUAAACCUUCUAUGGACCUGUCAAUCAAUCACUCACCCUGCCCCACCCAUCACCAUGCAGGCUCACAGAUGCCAGCCUUUUCAAUGUGAAGAACCCAGGCAACGAAAUAGUUUAUGACUUGACCAAGCCUUCAUAGAUGAGUCUACUCCACAUUUAACAUAAUUUGAGAGCAGCAGUUAUCACAUGUAAGAAGCAAGACUAUUGAGGCCGAAGCAUAAACUGCUGAGUUUCUCUGAGGAACGACAACCCAAACACCCCUCCACUCCCCUUCUCCGAACCACCGCACACACACCUGUUCUGUUCCCAACCACAUCAAUGAACAGAAGAUAACAGCAUAGGGAAGAGCAGGAAGACAGAUUUGGUACAGUACCACAAAGUAACUAUUUAAAAUGGAACACUAAGCUCUGCUGUGUGCUGUAUAGGAGUGGAAUCAUAUGAAAACACCAUACUAAGCUCUAUGUAUAGCAGUUGAAUGUGUUACUAUGUCACUGUGGCUGUGUGAUAAUCCUGUGUACAGUUAUGCUCUUUGAAUUAGUUAGAACUAAUACUUUUUUUUAGGAUUGUGGUAAACACCAGGCAUAUCUUUGUACGGUUCUGGUAAACAUACAGCCAAUUAGGUAGGAUUCUAACUUCAUGGUAUAAGAACAGAAAUAGUAACAUUGUCUGAAGGACCGUGCACCAGGACAUCAGGAUCUGAACAGAGAUGGUAACAUUGUCUGAAGGACCGUGCACCAGAACAUCAGGAUCUGAACAGAGAUGGUAACAUUGUCUGAAGGACCAUGCACCAGGACAUCAGGAUCAAGCAUACCAGAUAGCAACAGUAUACCAGAUAGUAACAUAUAAUGACAUUCGCUGUACUCUAUCAUGUCAUUUAAAUGUUGUGAAAAGAUGAAUGUGGUUUAAUGCUUCGAGAAGUUAACUGAAUCAUAGAAAAAGGAAAUUUUUGCACUUGGAAUUGAAACAUAAAUCAUUCAUACAUCAGUGGAAAAAUCCGAUUUGUGUUAUUUCGCUGCAAUUUCGUAGAGGUCUUUCUAGCGCCAUUUAUAUAUUUGAAGGGGAUCUUCUCAACUGUUGAUGAUUUUGUGUUCUCAUUCUUCCAUUGUGAGUAGAUAAUAUAUAUGCAGUGUUUGUUUUUUACACAUUGGUCAGGGGUAGAGUUUUUUUAAACCAUCAUAUUUAUACAUUAUAGGUAGUCUGUGUACAUGACAACGUUUUUAUAUGGUCAAAUGUUCGGAAGAGCAGUCGCAGCCUUCGAGGCAUCUGCUAAGGACGGUAGCCACACAUAGCAGUGUGUUAAUGAGUUAGGCCUCUGUGCCUCUCCUCUCCUGUCCUGGUGGGGACCAGGGCUCUAGCUGAGCCAACCCACAAUAAGGCCAUUGUUUGUUUCCCU